CUGACUCAGCCGCAGACAUUAGUGUUAGGAAGAUGGCGCACCCGGCGAUGUUUCCUAGAAGGGGCAGCAGCAGUAGCAGCGGCAGCAGCUGCGUUACUGCUCCCACUGCACCAGGUACCGGCGUUGGGAGCGCUGCCCUCUCCAACGAGGAUUAUCAGCCGCCUUUGCUGGUCCAGCCGCCGCCUCCAUCUCCUGCAGCAGCUUCAACAGCGGGUCCACAGCCGACACCCCCUCAUCCACAAAGCCUGAACCUCCUCUCGCAGUCUCAGCUCCAGCCACAGCCCCUUGCGCAGACUGGAGCUCAAAUGAAAAAGAAAAGUGGUUUUCAAAUUACCAGUGUGACCCCUGCUCAGAUAUCAGCUAGUAUGAGCUCUAAUAACAGCAUAGCUGAGGAUACAGAAAGCUACGAUGACCUGGAUGAGUCUCACACUGAAGACCUGUCAUCUUCAGAAAUCUUGGAUGUGUCUUUAUCCAGAGCCACUGACUUGGGAGAACCUGAGAGGAGCUCUUCUGAAGAGACUCUGAAUAACUUCCAAGAGGCAGAGACUCCUGGGGCCGUUUCUCCAAACCAGCCUCAUCUUCCUCAGCAGCAUGCUCCUCUGCCUCAUCACCCACAGCCGAGUGUUGUGAUCAAUGGAAGUGUUCAUCCCCACCAUGUUCAUCAUCACCACCAUCUUCACCACCACCAUCAUGGACACCAUCAUCCAUCACAUCCUGGGGUGGGYACUGCCCCAGUUUCUGGAGGACCACCGCCCAGUCCAUCAUUUAGAAAACUGUCAACAACUGGAAGCUCUGACAAUGUUAUAUCAACUGCACCAGUUUCUGCUGCAUCAUCCACUGGUUCCCUGGCAUCUGCCAUGUCUAAUAUCCGCACUACGAGUACUCCUGGCAAUUUAGGUAUAGGUCCUGCUACUGGAACUAGUACCUUAAAUAAUAUUGGUGGUGGUGGUAGUUCUAGUGUGGCAAGCAAUGUGCUUGGUACUAUAAAUUUAAGCAACAUCACGAGUACUGGUAAUGUAAAUGCUUUGUCUGGAACUAGCAGCAAUGCUAAUGUGAAUAUCUUGAGUGGUGUUGGCAAUGGUACGAGUGCUUCCUCUAGUGUCAUUAACAAUGUUACUAAUCCAACUGCAGGAAUGGCAGUGGGAUCAAGCCAGCAGCAGCCUGCAUCUGGCACAUCAAGGUUUAGGGUUGUAAAGUUAGAUUCUAGUUCUGAACCUUUCAAAAAAGGUAGAUGGACAUGCACUGAAUUCUAUGAUAAAGAAAACACUGUUGCAGUUUCGGAGGGAGUAGCAGUAAACAAAGCAGUAGAGACGAUAAAACAAAACCCUCUUGAAGUGACUUCUGAAAGGGAGAGCACCAGUGGGAGUUCUGUUAGCAGCAAUGUAAGCACACUGAGUCACUAUACAGAAAGUGUGGGAAGUGGAGAAAUGGGAGCACCUACUGUGGUACAGCAGCAAGCAUUUCAAGGUGUGGGUCCACAGCAGAUGGAUUUUAGCGGUUCUGCUCCUCCAGCRAUUCCAGCAUCUAGUAUACCACAGAGUGUUUCUCAAUCACAGCUUGCACAAGUCCAGCUGCAUUCUCAAGAACUAAACUAUCCACAGCAGAAGCCAGGGGUCCAACCUCCUGCACAGGCCAGUCUAACCACUGUUACUGGGGUUCAGCCAACCCCAGUUAACAUACUAGGUGUAUCCCCAUCUCUGGGUCACCAGCAACCUGCCCUUCAGAGUAUGGCUCAACAGCAGCUGCCAUAUUCGCAGCCGGCGCAGCCUGUGCAGACUUUGCCAGUGGUGCAGCAGCAGCAGUUGCAGUAYGGACAACAGCAGCAGCAGCAACAGCAGCAGCCAGUUCCUACGCAGAUGGCCGCAGGUCACGUUAAGCCGGUGAACCAAAACUCUAUCACGGGGGCUAUGCCAGACUACGUUCAACAUCAGCAGAUCCUUCAGACUCCAGCCCCUGCCAUGCAGCCAAGUUCUACAGGAGUUGCAGCUGGGCAACCAGUUGCCCAGGCACAGGGCAUUCAGCCUUCAGUGCAGGCCCAUCCAGCUACUGCCCCAGCUCAGCCUGUUGCACAUGCUCCAGCAGCAAUACCAGGUGUAGCUGCCAGUGGUCAAAUGUUAAAUGUUGGGCAGCAAGGAAGCGUAACUGCUGUGGUGCAACCACCAUCUGCAGCAAACCAAAUUCCACCUCCAGUUAUGCCAUCAACGGCUGCUCCUCCAUCUUCCCAAGUAGUGCAGCCUGUGCAGACAGGAAUAAUGCAGCAGGGAUUACAGGCUAGUGCUACAGGCCUUCCUCAACAAAUGGUCAUAGCUCAGCAAAACACCUUGUUACCUGUGCAGCCACAGGCACAAGGAGUGGAAUCUGUAGUCCAAGGGAUGACUGGUCAGCAGCUGCCUGCGGUAAGCCCUAUACCRUCUGCUAGUACUGUUCCUGCACCAAGUCAAGCUGGUUCAGCUGUGCCUCCUGGCAUACCUUCUGCUUCUGUAGGUUUGGGACAGCCACAGAGUAUAGCACAGGCAUCAGCUGUACAGAAUGGCAAUUUGGCUCAAAGUGUUAGUCAGCCUCCCUUGAUAUCAACAAGUAUAGGUAUGCCGGUGGCACAGAGUGUGCCACAACAGAUGCCACUAAGCUCUACCCAGUUCCCCGCACAAUCACUAGCUCAGUCCAUUGUAAGCCAAAUUGAAGACGGCAGACGCCCUACAGAACCUUCCUUGGUGGGUUUACCUCAAGCUGCCAGCGUCGAGAGUGGUGGUGGAGCAUCGGCCGCUUCAGAUGGUGGUAGCAGCAGCAUGCCAUCCUCUGCAUCCCUCUUUCCGCUGAAGGUGCUGCCGUUGACAACACCUCUUGUAGAUGGUGAGGAUGAGAGCUGCCCACAAAAGUAAAGAACCAGUGUGAGAGUUUGAAGAAAGAAUCCACUCAGAGGACUGAGUCUAAAGGAAAAGCUCCAGGUUGCAGACUCAGAAAGAAACUUCCUUUGGGGAAGGAUCUGCUUCCAGGAUUUGCUCGUCUCUUUUUCCUUGGGCAAACAGUUCUUGAAGCAAACAACAGGGUUGCAGGACACCUUCUAACCUUUAUACUGCAUCACAAGCCUUCAGCAGAAGAUCUUAUGUUGCUGGAAGAUGACUGGGUUUGGAUCUUGGCCUUCCCUAAGCAGGACCUUCUGACAAAAAAUGGGAUUGGGAAAGAAAUGAGACCUUUUUCCAUCACACAGAACCACCUUAGAAAUGGAGGCCUAGGCAGAAAAUUACUUCUAAUGCAUCGUUCAUUAGGAAAUGUGUUUGGCCUCCCACAGUUCUUUUGUUACAGUGUCAUAUAGAUGUCUUUUAUAAAAUCUAAAUCUAGAGUCUUCCUAUCUGAUGAUCAAGUUGGUAAAUCCAAGAUUAAGGGUUUAAGUCUAAUAAUGUGGUCAGAUCUUGCUGUCCCUUGCAUAGGAGGUGCCACAAUAAUCUGUCAAACAGGAUUCUUUCUACUGUGGUUCAGAUUGUUGUAUUUGUAAAGCCUUUUUUACUUAAAUUAACAUGAUUAGAAAUAAUACUAAUAAAGGUUCUUGUGAAAGUUGUAUUUAAUUAGACUUCUACCUUUCAGGUUUACUUGAAAAUAAAUUUGAGCCAAAAUGUCACAAUGGACAAUAUGGGAUGUACUGCAUCUUUUGAGGUUUCCUGUGGCUUUGUGUCACUAAAAAGUAUGUUGGAAGUGUAGAGAGCUAUUAAAGUAGAAAAACUGAGAUUUUUCUUGAAGAGUGAGAAGUUAUUUGUUAGAAAGCAGAAAUCUCUUUAAUUGUUUUCCCCCUAAGGGAUUCUGUAGUCAGACCUAAUUAAAUGUCUUGCAACAUCUCAAAUGAAAACCUUGUGUUUGGCAGUAGUGAACAACACACACAUGCCUGUGUACUUUUGUUGUUCUCUCUAUAGGAAAUUGGUUUUGAAGAAUGGGACUUACUUUAAUGUUCAGAUUAGAAAAGGGCAAAGUUUUGUUUUGAAGCAGAGUGUGAGAAUAGGGGACAGGAGGGCAUACCAGACCCUCUGGCAGUAGGCAAAGAGCACUUUUGUUUUUCUGUUUUCUGCUUCUGGCAGUUGAAGUAAACUAGCCAGAUACUUGUACUUGAAUGCCGUUUAUUUCUUAACUCAGUUACCACAAAACAUUGUUUUUUAACUCAUGCCUAGAUCUUUUGUUAAAUUCACCAACUUACUUAAUUUAUUCAGUGGUCUUAACAUAGCCCUGAGGCUACUGCUUCAUGGCAGUUGUGACUUCUUACUAUGCCGGAAUGCAUUGCAGCCCUCGUACAUUCUAAAAAUAAUUGUUCAGAUGGUGCURUUUAAGUACAUACUUACGUAGUGAGCCAUUUUCACUGGACUUUCUGAAACUGGCAUUCUAUUGGAUGGCUUUUUAAUGUCUUACUUUGCUGUGAGUAUCAAACUUGUUUGUCUUUCUGCUUAUGUGGUUAUUGAGUAAAGUGCUGAAUUUAUAAUGUGAUAUUUUUAGAGAACUGAUAGUCAGAUGUGUGUGUUAAACUGAAACCACAGGAACGCUUGUUAACUUACAAGUUUAAAAAGAAAUCAGCUUAACUCCAAUGUAUCAAAAUCAAUCCUGUUAGAAUAUGUGGAAAUAUGUAUGUGAUGAACAUAAAAUUGAGUAGUUGUUACAGGUAUAGACAUGAAUUGUCUGAACAGAAGUAAUCUAGAAGUUAAUAGCUCUGGGUCUCAGAAAUGAAUUCUAACAUCGACGACUAGAGUUUUGUGCCAGCAGUGCUUGUAGUUGAAAAUACCUGGUUUUCUAACUUCUAGUUCAUUUAAGGUCUGAUAUCCUUUGUGCCUUAAYAGAUAUGCUUGCACUUGCCUCAGCCAUAGUUUUUGUGGAUUCUGUUCUCUGGUGGGUGUGUUUAGGACUGUCAGAUACUUAGAAAAUGGGCACUGAGAUCUGUUUAUGUUAUUGUCUCAGUUCCUAAAAUGGCUUUACUCUUCCCCAUCACAAUUAGGAAAAAAACCCCACCAAAAUAAAAGCAAAAACCAAACUGAAAACCCUGUUGCGAUUCUACAGUCAGUAUUUUGAUACUUGUCUGUCACCAUUGUGUUAGCAUGUUUCUGUCAUGCACUGAGUUUUACAGCUGGAAUCCUGGGUUCUUGAUACAUCGUUAGAGCAAUAACUCCUGCCUUUUUGUUAUUAAAUAAUAAAGAUAUCUGAAACAAGUUUCUUCUUGUUU